CUCACCCACUGGACUGAACCUUCCCAGGCACUAACCAGUGUCGUUAAUUCACUUCCAUUUGCCACUGACUCUAUGGACACAAUUGGAUAAGGUUAUUUUAUCAAGACUUUAACUGGAAGGGUCCAGGAGCUCCAAAUUUAUCUUGGGACCUUAAGAAGAGGGGAUCACCUAACCCACAGGUAUUUGAGGAUGGAAAUCCGUGGCUGGACUGGGCUUUAAAAGGUCUUAUCUGUGAUUCCUUGUGGAACACACUUCCAUCAAAGCCAAUCCAAGAGGCCUGUGUAGAAAUAAUUAUUCUUUUUGCACUUUAUGCAAAUAAACAGGCCAAGUAUAAGACCAAAGUCUAUUUAAACAACUCAGUGCUAUGAUCAUUUGUUUCUUGGAGCUCCCUAGACCUCAUUUAUGCCAUGGAUACUAACGUGGCCUUUAUCCAUGCAAUAGGAAGCUUGGGGUUGGAAUAAGUAGGGACUAAAUGGAAUGCCCAUCAUGUGAAGGUUUCCUUUUUUGGGAAAGUAAGACCAAGGGAACUAACCAAAUCCAAGAACCAUGCAUCCAAAUCCUAGCAAGCAUAACUAUAGCUACCAGUUAGCUGGGUGUGUCACACAACAUCCUUUCCUCUCCCUUGUUGGAGGAAAAAUCAGUUCCACAGUUUUACCUUAGCAUUUGGCUUAUGAUAAGGAGUCCAUGCAACCCUCCCAGAGACACAUUUUUGUCCCAGACUCAAUUCUAAGCUUUGGGUCAAAGCCCUGGAAAGAAAACUGGAUCUAAUGGCUCCAGAGGCAGAUGGCAAUGGAGGUUAAAAGGCACAGCACAGGUGACCAUGGCAGAUUCCUGCUGAUUAAGCCAAACCCAAGCUUCCUGUUUCAUGGAUAAAGACCAUGUCAGUAUCCAUGGCAUACAUGAGGUCUAGGGAACUCCAAUGCUACUGACAGUAGGAGGGAUAGAUGCAUAGGUGAGAGUGGGCAAUUCCCAUUCUCUAGGCACUCCCUGAUUCAUGGGUGCAAGCCGCUUUGGCACUCAUGGUGGUGCCUGCCAAAGUUGCUGGGUCUCUGGGAUGCAAGGAUGGAAGAGGAAAAGAGGGACACUUCCUUCUCUCUCUCAUGUACCCCGGGUAUCUGCUAGGAAGAGAAGGGAACCAGGGAUGUCUGCUCCCCUCUUUCUAGGUGGGUGGCCAUUCGUCUUCAGUGUGUACCCCUUCCAAAUGCAUCCUGAACUGCUGGGACUUCUUUGAAAAGCACCUUCUUUUCCCUGUCUCCUCCUCAGUCCUCUCUUCAGUUAGGCCAUCAAACUCCAAACAAUCAUGCAACCAGAGCCUCUAAUGAUGGCCCCUUCUGCCAGGAACCUUUAAAUUUCCUCUGAGGGAGCUCUGACUGUUGUUUCUCAACAACUGCACCCCCUGUCAGCAGGAAGCAGUUAAGAUCAUCUUCCUCCUUACCUUGAAUCUACCAGCGGUUACAUGUACUUCUUUAGAGGGGUGAAUGAGAGCCAGGUGGGAGGGGGUCCCUGGAGAAAUUCCAGUCAGUCUGCCCAUUGAGGUGGAGCCUUGGGAAGUUCAUGCCCUUUGCAGUGGGGAGGGGCCUGGCCCCACCUCUUCCUAUGUGGAACCCAGUAUUCAAAUAGCAGCAGGAAGCUCUCUAGCAGGGGACUCUGAAACAGGAGGAUGCCUGUCCCCCCUCCUCCUUUUUUUUCCCUUUUCACCCAAUAAAACCUUGCUUUACUCACCCUUUAAACCAUCUUUGAGCCUAAAUUUUCAUGUCUAUAGGAUAGACAAGAACCCUGUCUUUAGCUAAA
rnacentral:lncRNA from 1 species